rnacentral:misc_RNA from 1 species
GAAAUGCGAUACGCAAUGCGAAUUGCAGAAUUCCGCGAAUCAUCAGAUUCUUGAACGCAACUGGCGCUGGAGGGAUAUCCUUCCAGCAUGUCUGUUUCAGUGUCUGAAAACAUCCUAAUUCAUUCUAAUGUGUUUGACAAGGAAUAAAUCAUAUAUAUCAAUUGAUAUUAUAUUUAUCUUCUGAGUCUUACACGAAAGAUGUAUGUGUGGGUCUUUGGAUCCAUCGAAUUGGUCAUCGAUUUCUUCGGUGAUUUCGAUUGGAUAUUCACCAAUUACUCGUAUACACAUAGAAUAUACAUAUAUAUAUUUAUUUAUAGAUAUAUAUAACAUACUUUAUCAUCUGCAUCUGAAAUCAGGCAAGAAAACCCGCUGAACUUAAGC